CGGAGUGUGGCUCAGCUUGGUAGAGCGCUACGUUCGGGACGUAGAGGUCGCAGGUUCGAAUCCUGUCACUCCGA
rfam:Ruminococcus lactaris ATCC 29176 Scfld_02_7 genomic scaffold, whole genome shotgun sequence.